UCAGUGUGAAAGUUUCCAAAGAAUUCUACUUAUUGAAUUCAGCUUUAAAUUUCCUCAUGAGCAUAAGUGCUAUGAAAUUUUUAAACAAUAAAGACAUCCCAUAGGCUCCUAAACACCUCCAAAAAGGCAUUCUAGUUUAUGAGAGAGACAGAGCAUGAAUGGGGGAGGGGCAGAGAGAG